CCCUUGUACACACCGCCCGUCACACCAUGGGAGUUGGUUUUACCUGAAGACGGUGCGCUAACCCGCAAGGGAGGCAGCCGGCCACGGUAGGGUCAGCGACUGGGGUGAAGUCGUAAACAAGGUACC
rnacentral:rRNA from 1 species